rnacentral:rRNA from 1 species
UGGAAGUUUCCAGAGAUGGAUUCGUGCUCGAAAGAGAGCCAUAACACAGGUGCUGCAUGGCUGUCGUCAGCUCGUGUCGUGAGAUGUUGGGUUAAGUCCCGCAACGAGCGCAACCCUUGUCAUUAGUUGCUACAUUCAGUUGGGCACUCUAAUGAGACUGCCGGUGACAAACCGGAGGAAGGUGGGGAUGACGUCAAGUCCUCAUGGCCCUUAUAGGUGGGGCUACACACGUCAUACAAUGGCCGGUACAAAGGGUCGCAAACCCGCGAGGGGGAGCCAAUCCAUCAAAGCCGGUCGUAGUCCGGAUCGCAGUCUGCAACUCGACUGCGUGAAGUCGGAAUCGCUAGUAAUCGUGGAUCAGCAUGUCACGGUGAAUACGUUCCCGGGUCUU